GCUUGCAUGCAAGUCACCUAUCUGGGUUUUACCUUGACUUCGACAUUACAUAACCAUGCAAAUGAACGAGGACACUUAAACGUUCACUUGCUGUAUAUCACACUUAAAAGGGAAUCCAAAAUUUCCAAGUUUGCGUAAGUCCUAAGUAGUAAUUCUCACUCUAAAAAGUUACCUUGCACUGUUCAAAGAGCAAAUUUUCCUAGACUUUUUUGAAGUCAUUAACAAUUCAUAUAAGUUUUUGUUCCUGUUUUUUUUUUUUUUUCGUCAUCCAGUCAUAGCAAAACAACUCAUAAAAUUUGUGUAUCAUGUGGUAGAGUAUUUACCGGCACAUCUUUGUGAUGAGAAUAACCUAUAUAUAACAUAGGUAU
rnacentral:lncRNA from 1 species